rnacentral:rRNA from 1 species
AGUCGAGGGGCAGCAUAUCGCUUCGGUGAUGAUGGCGACCGGCGCACGGGUGAGUAUCGCNGUUUGCAACCUACCCUUAACUGGGGAAUAGCCCGAAGAAAUUCGGAUUAAUACCCCAUAAUAUUUAAGAACGGCAUCGUUUUUUUAUUAAAGCUCUGGCGGUUAAGGAUGGGCAUGCGUGACAUUAGUUUGUUGGUGAGGUAAUGGCUCACCAAGACUACGAUGUCUAGGGGGUCUGAGAGGAUGAUCCCCCACACUGGUACUGAGACACGGACCAGACUCCUACGGGAGGCAGCAGUGAGGAAUAUUGGGCAAUGGACGCAAGUCUGACCCAGCCAUGCCGCGUGCAGGAUGACGGCGCUAUGCGUUGUAAACUGCUUUUAUACAGGAAGAAAUCCUCCUACGUGUAGGGGGUUGACUGUACUGUAAGAAUAAGCAUCGGCUAACUCCGUGCCAGCAGCCGCGGUAAUACGGAGGAUGCAAGCGUUAUCCGGAUUCAUUGGGUUUAAAGGGUGCGCAGGCGGGGCAAUAAGUCAGUGGUGAAAUCCUGCGGCUUAACCGUANAACUGCCAUUGAUACUGUUGCCCUUGAGUAUAGUUGAGGUGGGCGNAAUAUGUAAUGUANCGGUGAAAUGCAUANAUAUUACAUANAACACCAAUUGCGAAGGCAGCUCACUAAACUAUCACUGACGCUGA